rnacentral:tRNA from 1 species
UCCUAGGUAGCUCAGUGGUAAAGAAUCUGCCUGCCAAUGCAGGAGACGCGGGUUUGAUCCCUGGUCUGGGAA